rnacentral:rRNA from 1 species
GCGAGAAAGCGGGGCAACUUCGUGAGUACAGCGGCGUACGGGUGAGUAACACGUGGGUAAUCUACCUCUUAGUGGGGAAUAACCCUGGGAAACCGGGGCUAAUACCGCAUAAUCCUGUGAAGGGAAAGCAGCAAUGCGCUGAGAGAGGAGCCCGCGGCCGAUUAGCUAGUUGGUGAGGUAACGGCUCACCAAGGCAAAGAUCGGUAGCCGGCCUGAGAGGGCACACGGCCACACUGGCACUGAAACACGGGCCAGACUCCUACGGGAGGCAGCAGUGGGGAAUCUUGCACAAUGGGGGCAACCCUGAUGCAGCGACGCCGCGUGAGCGAUGAAGCCCUUCGGGGUGUAAAGCUCUUUCGGCCGGAACGAUAAUGACGGUACCGGAGGAAGAAGCUGCGGCUAACUACGUGCCAGCAGCCGCGGUAAUACGUAGGCAGCAAGCGUUGUUCGGAGUUACUGGGCGUAAAGAGUGCGUAGGCGGUGACCUAAGUUCGGUGUGAAAUCUCCCGGCUUAACUGGGAGGGUGCGCCGAAAACUGGGAUGCUGGAGUGUGGGAAAGGCAAGCGGAAUUCCUGGUGUAGCGGUGAAAUGCGUAGAUAUCAGGAGGAACACCGGCGGUGUAGACGGCUUGCUAGACCAUAACUGACGCUGAGGCACGAAAGCGUGGGUAGCAAACAGGAUUAGAUACCCUGGUAGUCCACGCCCUAACGAUGCAUACUUGGUGUGGGCAGUUCAUUCUGUCCGUGCC